rnacentral:rRNA from 1 species
GAACAGCUAGAGUUUGAUCCUGGCUCAGGAUGAACGCUGGCGGCGUGCUUAACACAUGCAAGUCGAACGGGGAAUGCUUUGACAGAGACUUCGGUUGAAGUCGUUGUAUUCCUAGUGGCGGACGGGUGAGUAACGCGUGGGUAACCUGCCCCACACAGGGGGAUAACAACCAGAAAUGGCUGCUAAUACCGCAUAAGCGCACAGGGCCGCAUGGCCCAGUGUGAAAAACUCCGGUGGUGUGGGAUGGGCCCGCGUUGGAUUAGCCAGUUGGCAGGGUAACGGCCUACCAAAGCGACGAUCCAUAGCCGGCCUGAGAGGGUGAACGGCCACAUUGGGACUGAGACACGGCCCAGACUCCUACGGGAGGCAGCAGUGGGGAAUAUUGCACAAUGGGGGAAACCCUGAUGCAGCGACGCCGCGUGAAGGAAGAAGUAUCUCGGUAUGUAAACUUCUAUCAGCAGGGAAGAAAGUGACGGUACCUGACUAAGAAGCCCCGGCUAACUACGUGCC